UACAGAGGGUGCGAGCGUUAAUCGGAUUUACUGGGCGUAAAGGGCGCGUAGGCGGUGAUGAAGGUGUGAUGUGAAAGCCCUGGGCUUAACCUGGGAAGUGCAUCGCAAACCAGAUCACUGGAGUACAAGAGAGGGUGGCGGAAUUUCCGGUGUAGCGGUGAAAUGCGUAGAGAUCGGAAGGAACGUCAAUGGCGAAGGCAGCCACCUGGCUUGAUACUGACGCUGAAGCGCGAAAGCGUGGGGAGCGAACAGG
rnacentral:rRNA from 1 species